AACAGAAAUUCUUCAUAAAAUGCUUUCUACUGCAAGGUGGUUUGUUGUCAGAAUGAGUUGAAUUAGUUGACUUGAUAUUGGUACGCCCAGAAGGCUUAGAGAACUCCAUUGAACAUUACAAUCGAAAUUAUAUUUAAUCAACAAAAUCAGACUUUUGCCAACUGGUGAUCCAGUGCGUAGACGCCGUGGGUGGCUCUGCCCCCAAGUCGGUCAUCCUGAGAGCGGUGGGCACAGCCACGAGAAUCAAAUUCAGGGGAUUGGACAGGCAAAUUGAAGACGCUCUUAAUGAGCUUAUCGUUCAAUGUAUGAUCCACGAACACGACGGCAACUAUUAUAUUAAACAUGCAAGGGAUGAGAGAACAGCAAGUGACAGUCACAGUGGCAAUGAAGAUUCAGAUUGACUUCGGAUUUAGAGAAUAAGCUGAAAAGCUCGACAAAUUCGGAUGUAUUCAAAUAUUUGAACAACUAAAUUCAAACACUCCAA